rnacentral:rRNA from 1 species
AGAAUCAACGCUGGCGGCGUGCCUAACACAUGCAAGUCGAACGAGAAAGUGGAGCAAUCCAUUAGUAAAGUGGCGCACGGGUGAGUAACACGUGACUAACCUACCCUUGAGUGGGGGAUAACCUAGGGAAACCUGGGCUAAUACCGCAUAAUACCUUCGGGUCAAAGGAGCAAUUCGCUUUAGGAGGGGGUCGCGGCAGAUUAGUUAGUUGGCGGGGUAAUGGCCCACCAAGACAGUGAUCUGUA